GACAGGGAGAGGGAGAGGGAGAGGGAGAGGGAGAGGGAGAGAGAGAAAGGAGGAGGAGAAAGAGGAGGGGAAGGGAGACAAACACCCUGGAUAACAAACACACCAAGGAGAGAGCACUUGUCUUCCUGCCCCUCACAUUUAUUUUGUGUGCCUGAGUUCUUCGGAUGGUCUGUUUUUAAGGAUCUUCAGGGUGCUGGCGCCCAAAUGAACCCGAUUUCUUUCCUAGUAACUUUUAUUUCCCACGUACUGGCUUUCAAGCAGCAGGAAGAUGCACUCAGCUCAGUAACAAAUCUGCAGCCCAUAUAAGCAAAGACUGCGGCACACGUGAAAAGCCAGAGAGAGUGAAUGUGGAUGAGGAAAGAGAAGGGUAGGAGGAAGGCAGACCAGCCAGAGACAGAAAGCGAAACAGAGCUCUGAGACACGGCCUGCUACCGAAACGCCGAGCAGGCAUGGCGGGAGUGGAUGUGGUGGUGGAUUCAGAUGCACGAGGUAUGCAGAAGUAGGCAACGUCCUCACUGCCAUGAAAUCCUAGUUUCUGCUGAGCUCCAUCUAAAUAGAAGCACCCUAGGACAAAAAUUAAUCUUCAAGAUGAAGGGAUUCUCAGCCUCCGACCUCUGCUCUAGGAGACAAGUCUCAGAAGAUAUUCUUAAAUCAUGCUCCCACCCAGAAAUCCCCAAGAACCCAACACAGAAGGUUGAAGAACAUAAAACACAACCUGGCUUCCAACGGGAGCUGAAAUGUCACCUAACAGUUAAUCUGGAGUUGCGGCUGUGGUUGCAAUUUUUAUGUUGUUAAUGAUAAUUAGGGCUUAAAAUAAUUGUUGUCAUUACUUUAUUUGCCUUUUCCUCCCAUAAUGUUCCCUUAGCGAAUGAUCUGGGGGGGCAGUUUGGUGACCCUUAGUUCAGGCACUCUUUUACAUGAUUCCCUUCCUUUCCCUUGUUCCCCCAACUGCUCACAAAACCCCAGCUGUCUGAAAAGGGUCUACUUUCCAGCUUUCUUCUUCCCCUGCCAUCCUGACACAGAACUGAAGCCUCUGGGGCUUUGUUCAAGAAAAGAGGACCUUGGCAGUAUGAAGCUAAGGUUAUAAUGCAGCUGAGACAUGGAAUUGUUCACUCACUUCCUCUGAUUGGCAAAGGAAUCGAUAUUUUUAGGGACAUCUAGAGUCUGGACUAGGAAAUAGAGUUAAAGGAGAAAAGGGAAUUUUAGGUCUCUGAGAGAAAAUAUAUAUCUCACUAUUCUUUGUCUAAUUCAGAAUCUGUGGGGGCCUUGGUUCCAGGACUCCCAUGGAUACCAAAACCCAUGGUUACUAUAUUCAAGUCCCCUUCACAGUGUCACCAUGUAAUCUACACACAUCCUCCCCUAUAUUAAAAUUAUGUCUAGAUCAUAUAUAAUAUCUAAUGCAUGUAAACAUUAUUUAAAUGUGUUGUUUGAGGACUAGUGAUAAGACAGAUAUUCUGUACCUGUUCAGUAUAGAUGUAGUUUCCCUCAAUAUGUUUGAUGAAAGGUUGGUUAAAUAGUCUCUGGUGUGAAAAACUAUAAUAGUACAUAAGAUCCUAAUGAGAUAAUUGACAAUGUGAAAUAGGAAGAAAAGGGCGAAAGGUGUAGGGAAAGUGGGAAGGGUAGGGGAGAGGAAAUAAGGGAAGAGAAAAAAAUAUGAGAAAAUGAAAAAAUGGAAAUAAAGUGUUUGUAAAUGGGGAGGGGAGGAGAGGGUGAAGGGAGGGCAGGGACAAGGGGAAAAAAUGAGAACAAAGACCUGUCAUGUAAAGGCACAAGAUCCCAAUCAUGAAUGUAACUGUACUGUAUAUGUAAAAUGUACCAAUAAACAAUUAAAAAUGAAAAGAAAGGAUGGUUAAAUCCACAAAGCCGAUUACAUUGAUUACGUGCUCAGCUCUAACUGUAUCUUUGGGUCUUCAUCUCCUUAUGAAGCUUCUCAUGCCACAUCAAAAAUUGUGUUAAGUAAAUUUGUAUGUUUGUCUUAGUUAUUUUCUCUGACACCCACGAUUUAAAGGAGGAGAGGCUUAUUCUAGUUCACCACCUGGAGAAGUUUCAGUCAGUAGUGUGCUGGCUCCCAGGCAGGAUAGCAUGGCAGAAGGGCAUCCCACAGGAAAAAC
rnacentral:lncRNA from 1 species